UACGUAGGGGGCAAGCGUUGUCCGGAAUUAUUGGGCGUAAAGCGCGUGUAGGCGGCUCGGUAAGUCUGCUGUGAAAGUCCAGGGCUCAACCCUGGAAUGCCGGUGGAUACUGUCGAGCUCGAGUCCGGAAGAGGCGAGUGGAAUUCCUGGUGUAGCGGUGAAAUGCGCAGAUAUCAGGAGGAACACCAAUGGCGAAGGCAGCUCGCUGGGACGGUACUGACGCUGGAGACGCGAAAGCGUGGGGAGCAAACAGG
rnacentral:rRNA from 1 species